rnacentral:tRNA from 1 species
AUUUAUAUAGUUUAAAUAUUAAAACAUUUCAUUUUCAAUGAAAAAAUAAGAUGAUUCUUUAUAAA